CUAUCUUCAUGUCUCCAAGUCUCUAACCUCAAACCCCAGAAUUACACACUAUAUACAAUUGCUAACCCAAUCAUAAUUUACUCAAACUUUCAUACAUAACAUCAAGCACCCAGUCCAUAUGGGUGUAUUGAAGUUCAACUCCUAUUCAAUCUAAACUCAAUAAGUUAUUGCUAGUUUUCUUUUUUUUCCAAUGCAAGGACAGAAGGGCAUUGGACUCUCCAUUCAAUACCAGCUUUUCCCUAUGUUUUUAUGCAUCCAAAUAGUAGACACGGGAAAAUGGACACGACAGAGGACAGAUCCGAAGUCAAGAAAGU
rnacentral:lncRNA from 1 species